CCGAGCUACCUGGAGGCCGGUAUCUCGGCCGUGGCGUAUCGCGCUAUGAUGUGUGCUGGCUUGUUUCCGUUUUCUUAUACAAUCGCCAUUAAGUUGAAGUACAUCGGUGCUGCGUUUGUACAUGGGCCUGAUGUCCAGUGGCUUGUGCACGGACGUUAUGUACCUACUGGCCGCUUUAAAUGUCGCACGAGUAGUUUGGCUGUUGGGUGAUUAAUAAUGUUUUCGAUGGGCCCAAUUUACUUCGACGGUGAGCAGCUUUUCUGCCUGGCUAGACCAUUCAUCGCCUUCUCGCGGCAGGGUGUACGACGGAUCACCAUGCAUGGGCUGGAGUUCUUCGAGGAAGCCUUAUCAGGAUUUAUCAGUAAUUUAUUCCAAGGGUGGUUGCCGGUGAUCUUUUAGGGGGAGAUAUCGUUGUUGCCUGUUGUGGAAUUGGUCGUUGUUUCAAUCCAUGAAGCUCGCCGGGACCGCAGGAUUUCAUUUCCUCAUAACCCAGAACCCACAACUGGCGUCAUGGAUGCAGAGCACUACCUUGAGGAUGCAGUGCUGGAUGGAGACGAGAUUAACUCAUACAACGAUGCUAAUGAGGUUGCCGAUUCAAACGAUAUGCCUCCUCAAGUUAUCAGCGAUGCAACCGUCAGAGAGGAUGGAGAUGCAUAGCAGAGGGCGUGUUCGUAUCCAACUCAAAAGGGUCCUGCUGGACUAGAAGAAUUAGGGUCGGUAAGGCAGCAGAUGAGAGGAAAAAGGUUCGAGCAGGGCUCGUGUGCUCAGGCCUUUUUUUUUUUUCUGAACAAGGGGAAGGGUCCAGAAGGAACAUGUGUGACUGUUUGAUGGCAACUGUGCGCUUUCCACUGUGCCGAGCCCUCUGCAUGAGCUGUCACUGUUGAUUUAAUAGCAAUACGAGAGACUGGAAAAGGCUUGUCGCUGAAAUACGGCAGAUACAUGCAUGCGUGGCGCUGAUCAGCAGAACGAGCGACGGCACAGAUACCGGCCUCCAGGUAGCUCGGCCACCAAAAGGCAUUUUUGGACUUUAGUGAGGUAAUAAGACUGGAGGAACAAUUUGUUCCCAAUCCGCCUGACAUGGCCCAGAUCAAUCUUUUUAGAGAAUGUGUAGAUGUGUGCCACGUCUCAUACAAUGGAGUAAUAAAUGGCAGCACGUUAGUUGUUCAGUAAAGAAAGAUAAAUUUUGAUU